ACGAGCGCCGGGGUCCCAGGACUUUUAACCUCUGCUGGCUACCUGGCCGUGGCCUCCGACGCAGGCGACCCACCUUCCAGGCGAGGAGCGCAGGUCAGGGAACUCCGGGCUGGGGUGCGGGCUUGAGAAAUCAGGGAAACGAUUUGAGGGAAAAACUUUAUUGUUUCUAGAAGAGCCUCGAAGCAAUCACCGGAUGGGAAACCAGCUGGACGUCGUACUUACUUUCCGGUGAAUUGUCUGGUUGCUCAUCAAAAAUCAAUUGACUACAGAUGCGAAGGAGUCUGCAUGCUGACCGUGUUGUUGGCCAGCCUCAUGAGUGUAAGCUCUCUGACCACGUUCUGGAUUGUUACAGGAAACCUCGGUUUUUUGAAGGCUUGUAAGGCCUUCACGUGAUGAGACCCACCCUUUGAGUGAUCUUUACUUAAAGGCAAGUCAGCCACACCUAUAAGUAGCUUCACAACAUGUGUGGACUAAAUCAUCAGUUUGAUCGGAUGACUGCACACUAUGGCCUGGGCAGGUUGACACGUGAGACCAACCGUCACGGCCCACCUUCUUUUGACUCGGUACCCACAGCUCUGCUGUAGCCACGUUGAGUCUCUAAGUGAAGACAGUAAGAGAGUCGUUCUCCCUCCUGAUGAGACACGCGGGCACUGUCCCCAGGGCAUGCAGAGUGCUGGGGUGAUGCUUACUUUUCUCCUUGACGACCUGUAACUUAAACCCUGUGAUGUGAGGGUAACAGUUAUUUGUGUAUCUUAUGGUCUAUGUUAUGCUAUACGGUAAGAAGAUAAAGGAAGGGAAGAAAAGAAAUGUAUUUGAUGCGUGCACAAGUGUGUGCACGCAGUCUACAGUCACGAGGUUGGUGAACUUUUUGUCCUCUUGCAGCACCAGUGCCAACUCGACUGCCAACUCGCAAGCUGGCACCACGGUCAGUGCCAGCUCUUGUACCAGUGCUAGUGCCAGAUCUGGUGUUAAAGGCGUUUCUGGUACCAGCCUGACAGCUAGAGGUAGCACCGGCUCCAGAGCCAGAGCCAGCUCCAAUCACCAGCUCCUGCAGCGUCCCAGAGCUGGAGCUGGCUCCAGGGCCACCUUCAGAUUUAGAGCCAGUGCCAGGUGCAGAAUGAGAGCCGGCUCUAUCACUAGAUCUAGAGUCAAGUCCAGUGAGAGAACUAGUUCCAUCAUUGGCUCAUGGAAAAGCCCUCAAACUCCAGUGAGCUCCGCAACUGGCUCCAGCACCAGCUCCAGGGCUGGAACCAGCUUUGGCACCAGCUGUCUCACCAGCUGCAGGGAUGGAAGCAGCUCUGUCAUCAACCAAUUUGCCAGCUCCAGCAGCAGCUCUAGAGUUUGGAUCCGACCCAACACAAAGCCCAGAGUGACAGAUAACAACAGGAAGUGAACUCGAGUCUACCCCAGCACCACCUCUGGCAGCACAGCUAGAGCUACAGGCAGCUCUAGAGGUAGAGCUCUCUCUAGAGCUAAUGUCAGCACCAGAGCUAGCUCGAGCAUUAGCUCCCGAGCUAGAGAGAGCUCCACUGCCCGUUCCAGGGCGAGAGCCAGCUCCAAGCACCAGCUCAAGAGCGCGAGUGAUAUCUGGAGCCAGCUCCAGCCAAAGCUCCAGGCUCGGUGUCAGUUCCAGCACCCGCUUCAGCACUGAUCCAUUGCCGGAGCCAGUUCUAUUACCACUAAUAGUUCUGGCUCUCCAGAACUAGAGCCAGAGCUGGCUGCAGAGCCAGAGUCAGCUCCAGCACCAGAGCUCGAGCCAGCGCCAUGGCGACAGUCAACUCAGGCUCCAACACUGGCAUCAACUCCUGAGAUAGAGGCAGCUCCAGCCUCAGCUCCAUUGCUGCUCCUGGGCGGGGCUGCUGUUAUCCCACGAGCUGGAGCUGGCUUGAACACCAGCCGUCAUGUCAGCUCUACCUCUGGAAGAUGGAGACAGCUCUAUCACUGACUCCCGUGCCAGCCCCAGUGAUAGAGUGAGAACCAGCUCAAAGCCAGUUUAGAGCCAGUGCUAGGUGCCAAGGAAGAGGUCGCUCCAGCGCCAGCUCUAGCAUCAGCCCCAGAGUUACAGCCAUUCCUGGCACCAGCUCCAGAGAGAGAGUCAGCACCAAGUUCAGACCUAGAGCCUGCUCCAGCCACAGUUCUAGGACCAACUCCAGAGCCAGAGCCCCCAUGAGAGUCAGCUCCUGCAGCAGCUCCAGAGCAAGAGCUGGCUUGGGCGCCCGUAGCAGACUUAGAGCCAGUGCCAGCUCAGGAGAAAGAGCCACAGCCCCAGCACCAACUUCAGAGCUAGAUCGUGCUCUGGCACCAGCACGAUGCCACGUCAGAGGUAGAGGCAGCUCUGUCAGCAGCUCCUAGGCCAGACUCUGUGCCUGCUCUGGCGCCAGAAUCUGCCCUGACACCAGUUCCAGAGGUGGAACCAGUCCAGAGCCACAGCCAGCUCCACCGCCAGUUUUAGCGCCAGCCACAGAGCUAGAGCCGGGACCGGCUGUACAGCUAGAGGCACCAGAAGCAGAGCCAGCACCAGACCGGAGCUGGAGUCAGCCGCAAAGUCAGCGAGAGCUCCAGCACCAGGGACAGCUCCCGCGUCCUCUCUACAGCAAAAUCCACGGCUGCUUCCGGCACGGGCUGUAACCUUAGCUCCGGAGGUACCUGAUCCACAGCUCAAGCCAAACCAGUACCCACCCAGGAGUCAGCUUCAGUGGCCGCUGCAGAGCCAGAGCCAGAGCCAGCGACCGCAAUAGCUGCAGCACCGGCUCCAGCCAGUGUGAGAGACAGCUCGAGAGCGCUGUCCAACUGCAGAACCAGGUCUAGACCGUCUCUGGAGGUAGAUCCGCCUCCAGCGCCUUCCCCAGAGCUAGAGCCAAGUCCAGCAUCAGCUCUUGCAUAAGCUCCAGUGCCAGUCCUAGGAGCAGAGCCACCUUUGAACUAGAGCCAGCUCUGUACCCGCUCUAGGACUGGGCGGGGCUGGGGGCGGGGCUGAGGGCGGGACAGUCCCUUCUGGGCAGGUCACUCCCAGGGCCUCCUCCUCCUCCCUCCCUGAGGUCCCGGCCCUCGGGUCCUCUGAGGCCCCGCUUUCCCAAGCGAGGCUCAAAGUGGGCAGAGACCGCUCUGUUGGAAACUGGCCAAUACCUUAAAAACUGUAUAUGUUUUGACCCAGAAAAUCCACCUCAUGGAUUCUGCCCUGAAUAGAGAUUUAUGGACACAGAUGUUCCCUUCAGCAUGAUUCUGAGAGUGAAAAAUGGCAAAUGGCCCAUGUCCCAUAGCAGGGGCUUUUCAGAAAUUCUGAUUCGGGGCCCCAGAAAAUGCGGAGGAGGAAGACGAUGGACUGAUCAGCACCCGCCCGGGGGAACCAGGUUCCAGAAGGGCACACGUGCCCAGAGUCCUCCCCACCUGACACCCACAACUGCACACGCACACACGUGCACAUGGGCACACACACCACGCGAGAAUUCCUGCGGGUAAACUCCUGGGAUUAGCUCUGCAGGUAAAGGGUCGCACCCGUGGAGCUCUGGGGUCCUGCGCACUGUUCUCCCAGACAGGAGUGUCCUUCCACGCUUCCCUCUAGGGGACCUGCUGGGCCUCUGCUUCCUCACACUGUCCCCAGGGCUGGUCGCCGCCAGACUAGAAACCUGUCGGUGUGGUGUUGACAGCGCCGUCUCCACGGCGUCUACAUCUGCGUGUCAUCGGGAGGUCAAGCGUCUCUGACCUGUACCGACCACGUGUGCGGCCUCUUGUUGGAGCUGCACAUGUGUGUUCUCUGUCCCUUUUUAAAACAUUGACUUUCAAGAUCUGGGGGACCACAGGGGUGUCAAACCUCUCUCUGGCCCUGGGGUGUGAGGAGGGCUGCUCCAGUUUGCGGUUUGUCUUCCCAGCUUUCUACAUGUUUCUUGUUUCUGUUUGG